UACUGGGGAGGGGAGAGGUGGAGAGUGUUAUGAUCAGGUGUGUACUGGGGAGGGGAGAGGUGGAGAGUGUUAUGAUCAGGUGUGUACUGGAGAGGUGGAGAGUGUUAUGAUCAGGUGUGUACUGGGGAGGGGAGAGGUGGAGAGUGUUAUGAUCAGGUGUGUACUGGAGAGGGGAGAGGUGGAGAGUGUUAUGAUCAGGUGUGUACUGGGGAGGGGAGAGGUGGAGAGUGUUAGGAUCAGGUGUGUACUGGGGAGGGGAGAGGUGGAGAGUGUUAUGAUCAGGUGUGUACUGGAGAGGGGAGAGGUGGAGAGUGUUAGGAUCAGGUGUGUACUGGAGAGGGGAGAGGUGGAGAGUGUUAGGAUCAGGUGUGUACUGGGGAGGGGAGAGGUGGAGAGUGUUAUGAUCAGGUGUGUACUGGAGAGGGGAGAGGUGGAGAGUGUUAGGAUCAGGUGUGUACUGGAGAGGGGAGAGGUGGAGAGUGUUAUGAUCAGGUGUGUACUGGAGAGGGGAGAGGUGGAGAGUGUUAGGAUCAGGUGUGUACUGGAGAGGGGAGAGGUGGAGAGUGUUAUGAUCAGGUGUGUACUGGAGAGGGGAGAGGUGGAGAGUGUUAGGAUCAGGUGUGUACUGGAGAGGGGAGAGGUGGAGAGUGUUAUGAUCAGGUGUGUACUGGAGAGGG